CCGCUGUGCGGCUGCCUAGGCGAGGAGCUUCUCCGGCCAGCCUCCGGGCCUCCAACUCGACCCGCCGCUUCUGAAUCUCGCUCCAUCUCUCUCUCUCUCUUCUCGCUCCUCCUCUUCCUCGCUGCAUCAGAAGUGUCCCCCGGCCCCCGGAGGGGGAGACGGGAGACGGGGAGGGGGCUCUGCUGCUGUUCCACAUUCCGGGAUCUCUGGAGUCGGAGCUCGUGGGAAUUCUCGGCGCCGUCUGGUCGUUCUUCAAGCUCCGGCGGCUCGGAGGGUCGGAAUCUGGAUGUAGAAACCCGCCAGGGCAAGGUGAUCGAUCCAUCCCGUCCCCACCCGCCCUCAGAUGUUUUUUCCAGGGAGGGGAAGGUGGGAGGAAGAGGAGCAGGAGGAGGAAUGUGCUUCUAGGAGGCCCGUGUCGUCUGCCUUAAUGCCCUGGAUUUGGUCGUUGGAGGCCAGGGGAGCGAACC
rnacentral:lncRNA from 1 species